rnacentral:rRNA from 1 species
AUUGAACGCUGGCGGCAGGCCUAACACAUGCAAGUCGAGCGGAUGAAGGGAGCUUGCUCCUGGAUUCAGCGGCGGACGGGUGAGUAAUGCCUAGGAAUCUGCCUGGUAGUGGGGGAUAACGUCCGGAAACGGGCGCUAAUACCGCAUACGUCCUGAGGGAGAAAGUGGGGGAUCUUCGGACCUCACGCUAUCAGAUGAGCCUAGGUCGGAUUAGCUAGUUGGUGGGGUAAAGGCCUACCAAGGCGACGAUCCGUAACUGGUCUGAGAGGAUGAUCAGUCACAUUGGAACUGGGACACGGUCAAUGCGCCUACGGGACGGAGCAGAGGGGUAUAGUGGACAGCGGGCGGAAGUAUUAUCCAGUCGUGGCGAGUGUGUGAAGAAGGUCUUCGGAUUGUAAAGAACGUUAUGGUGUGGGGAAGGGCAGUAAGUUGAUACCUUGCUGUUGUGACGUUACCAACAGAAUAAGCACCGGCUAACUUCGUG